rnacentral:rRNA from 1 species
AUUGAACGCUGCGGCAGGCCUAACACAUGCAAGUCGAGCGAACGGCGGACGGGUGAGUAAUGCUUAGGAAUCUGCCUAUUAGUGGGGGACAACAUCUCGAAAGGGACGCUAAUACCGCAUACUUACACAUGAGUCUAGUCGGAUUAGCUAGUUGGUGGGGUAAAGGCCUACCAAGGCGACGAUCCGUAGCGGGUCUGAGAGGAUGAUCCGCCACACUGGAACUGAGACACGGCCCAGACUCCUACGGGAGGCAGCAGUGGGGAAUAUGGACAAUGGGCGCAAGCCUGAUGCAGCCAUGCCGCGUGUGUGAAGAAGGCCUUCGGGUUGUAAAGCACUUUCAGCGGGGAGGCGUUACCCGCAGAAGAAGCACCGGCUAACUCCGUGCCAGCAGCCGCGGUAAUUC